GGGAAGAUGGCCGAGUGGUUAAGGCGCUACGUUUAGGAGGGUUCCACCCAGAACCAGAAAAUCCGUAGUGGGAAACCGCGUGAGUUCGAACCUCACUCUUCUCA